rnacentral:rRNA from 1 species
AAAAUAUANAAUNANNACNAAAANANAAAUUGAAUUCCCCCACAGAUUNUAGCANAUUUAUAGGGGAGGGAAAAGAAAACAACUAGAUUCCAUAGNNNGGGGGNGCGAACGGGAAGGAGNCCAAACACANAAUCCCCGCGCCCUCANGAACGCAGGGAAAAGAGNGAUUGGGGAGGAUNCGGUUAUACAGAAACCNUAAGGCAUNCAAAAAAAUUNUUAACGAGGCCACUUACCCAAAGAGGAUUUCAGACCCGUAGUGACCGCGGNAGAAUCGGGAGGACUUCUCCUCAGAGUCGGGUUGCUUGAGAGUGCAGCCCUAAANGGGUGGUAAACUCCAUAUAAGGCUAAAUAUAACCACGAGACCGAUAGCGAACAAGAACCGUGAGGGAAAGUUGAAAAGAACUUUGAAGAGAGANUUCAAGAGUACGUGAAACCGUUCAGGGGUAAACCUGAGAAACCCGAAAGGUCGAACGGGGACAUUCAUNGUGUUUNGGGGGCGGCGAGUUGCGGUCGUGCGACGGCGAUCCCUUNGGGGAAAACCGCNCCGGCUGUUUCCGUCCGUCCUCGAACGNGNGCACUUGUCCCCUUGUANGACGUCGCGACCCGUUGGGUGCCGGUCUAAGGCCCGCAGGGGAGCCCGUGCGGCGGUUCGCCGCCGUGCGGACCCGUGGUGUCCCGGCCGGCCUGCCCGACGGUAUACAGAUGGCGCGGGGCCGCGGUCAUCGCGUCCGGCCCGUCACAAGUUCGGACGGUAACCGGGAAGUCGGACCUGGUCCGGCUCUCGGCCCGCCUGGCUGUUGGUGGCGGUGUCCUNGGACAGACUCCGUGCACGCCCGUNGGCGANGCUAAGCUAUNUANNUCANUUUNGNNU